AAUUUUUAUUUUCCUCUCUCUCAAUCUCUCUCUCCUCAUGUUGUAGUCUUCUCCCUAUUGAUUUACCUUCAUUUUCAUAUAAAUUCCUCUUUCAUCCGACCCUUUCAUCAAAAUAGUCUCUUUAACACAAGCUCUCUUUAUAAUUAGAGAACAUCUCCAAAUAAUAGUAGGUAACAACUUCACCUAAAAUCAUUUGCGUGAUUUCGUCUCGAACGCUUUUUCAUUGUCACCAACACGAAAUCCACUAGAAUCUCAACGCUUCGAUUGCUCCAAUGGUGGCUUAUAGAUAGUAAUUGCACUUUCCUAUUUGGGUAUAUCAAUUCUCGUUUGUUGUUGUUAUUGGGUUCCUUUUUGGGUGUUUCUUCUCCAAUUUAUGUAAGAUGCUCUUAAUUUAUUUCAAUUUAUGUAAGAUGCUCUUAAUUUAUUUCACUUUCCUUUUUUUUUUGGUGAUGCUCUUAAGUAAUUUCAUUUUCCUAUUUGGGUGUUUCUUCUCCAA